GUGGGGAAUUUUGGACAAUGGGCGCAAGCCUGAUCCAGCAAUGCCGCGUGUGUGAAGAAGGCCUUCGGGUUGUAAAGCACUUUUGUCCGGAAAGAAAUCUCUUGGGUUAAUACCUCGGGGGGAUGACGGUACCGGAAGAAUAAGCACCGGCUAACUACGUGCCAGCAGCCGCGGUAAUACGUAGGGUGCGAGCGUUAAUCGGAAUUACUGGGCGUAAAGCGUGCGCAGGCGGCUCUGCAAGACAGAUGUGAAAGCCCCGGGCUCAACCUGGGAACUGCAUUUGUGACUGCAAGGCUAGAGUGCGUCAGAGGGAGGUGGAAUUCCGCGUGUAGCAGUGAAAUGCGUAGAGAUGCGGAGGAACACCGAUGGCGAAGGCAGCCUCCUGGGAUGACACUGACGCUCAUGCACGAAAGCGUGGGGAGCAAACAGGAUUAGAAACCCCAGUAGUCC
rnacentral:rRNA from 1 species